UGAUUAAUUGUAUUGCAGGUCUGGAAUACGUGGUGACGAAAGGGAGGAGCUCCCCCGUCUCUGUCGGCCGUGGCUCCAGGAAGGUUUUGAGGGCCUCCCUUCUAAAGGAGCGCGCGUAGCCCCUGGUAGCUAACGCUCUGAAGAGUGUUUUCGUGGCCAUCAUGAAAUCGCUCUUGUGGUGGUAUCCAGAAAGUCGACAGACGUGGUGCUGGUGGUGGAUUUCAGCUUGAUGGACGGGUUGUGAUUAUUCAAGGAUGCCAGGGCAGAUGUCUCCCACUCGGCCAUAAAGAUGUUUGCGUAUGCCGGUGCAA